rnacentral:rRNA from 1 species
GACGAACGCUGGCGGCGUGCUUAACACAUGCAAGUCGAACGGGAUUUAGUAAACAGAAGCCUCGGUGGAAGAUUACUAAUGAGAGUGGCGAACGGGUGAGUAACGCGUGAGCAACCUGCCUAUGACAGUGGGAUAGCCUCGGGAAACCGGGAUUAAUACCGCAUAAAAUCGUAGAAACACAUGUUUUAAUGGUCAAAGAUUUAUCGGUCAUAGAUGGGCUCGCGUCUGAUUAGCUAGUUGGUGAGAUAACAGCCCACCAAGGCGACGAUCAGUAGCC